rnacentral:misc_RNA from 1 species
CAACCCUUAAGCCUAGCUUAGUGUUGGGAGACUGCCUAGUACGCAGCUCCUCAAAACCAGUGGCAGAGUUUUUACGUACUCUGAGCGCAGUAAUUCUAUUCUCGCUUCUGAAAACGUCUAGACGAUAGCCAUAAACCGCAUGCCCUAACCGGCAGCAACUCUUUUAAU